GUUGACCUCGGAUCAGGUAGGAAUACCCGCUGAACUUAAGCAUAUCAAUAAGCGGAGGAAAAGAAACCAACAGGGAUUGCCUUAGUAACGGCGAGUGAAGCGGCAAAAGCUCAAAUUUGAAAUCUGGCUCUUUCAGAGUCCGAGUUGUAAUUUGUAGAGGAUAUUUCGGACACCGCCCCGGGUUAAAUUUCUUGGAACAGAAUGUCAUAGAGGGUGAGAACCCCGUCUUGACCAGGGUGUAGGAUCCAUGUGAAAUUCCUUCGACGAGUCGAGUUGUUUGGGAAUGCAGCUCUAAAUGGGUGGUAAAUUUCAUCUAAAGCUAAAUAUUGGCCAGAGACCGAUAGCGCACAAGUAGAGUGAUCGAAAGAUGAAAAGCACUUUGAAAAGAGAGUUAAACAGUAUGUGAAAUUGUUGAAAGGGAAGCGCUGGCAACCAGACUUGAGCGCGGCGGUUCCCCCUUGCUUCUGCUUGGGUUAUUCCGUCGUGUCCAGGCCAACAUCGGUUCUAGGGGUCGGUUAAAGGCUCUGGGAAUGUAUCUACCCCUCGGGUCGACUUAUAGCCCAGGGUGUCAUGCGGCCACCCGGGACCGAGGAACGCGCUUCGGCACGGAUGUUGGCGUAAUGGUUGUCAGCGGCCCGUCUUGAAACACGGACCAAGGAGUCUAACAUCUAUGCGAGUGUUAGGGUGUCAAACCCUUGCGCGGAAUGAAAGUAAACGGAGGUAAGAAGCUUCGGCUGCAUUAUCGCCCGAUCCUGAAGUUUACGGAUGGAUUUGAGUAAGAGCAUAGCUGUUGGGACCCGAAAGAUGGUGAACUAUGCGUGAAUAGGGUGAAGCCAGAGGAAACUCUGGUGGAGGCUCGCAGCGGUUCUGACGUGCAAAUCGAUCGUCAAAUUUGCGUAUAGGGGCGAAAGACUAAUCGAACCAUCUGGUAGCUGGUUCCUGCCG
rnacentral:rRNA from 1 species